CCUACGGGAGGCAGCAGUGGGGAAUAUUGGGCAAUGGGCGCAAGCCUGACCCAGCAAAGUCGCGUGAAGGAAGAAUGCCCUCUGGUUGUAAACCUCCUUUUUCAGGGACGAAGCACGUGACGCUUCCUGAGGAAUAAGCCACGGCUAACUACGGGCCAGCAGCCGCGGGAAUACGUGGGUAGGAAGUGUUAUCCGGAUUUACUGGGUGUAAAGGGCGUGUAGGGGGGGACGCAAGCUCGAUGGGAAAACCACGGGGUCAACCUGUGGCCUGCCGUUGAAACUGUGGUUCUGGAGUAGGGGAGAGGCAGGCGGAAUGCCUGGUGUAGCGGUGAAAUGCGUAGAUAUUACGAAGAACACCGAUGGCGAAGGCAGUCUACUGGACAGCAACUGACGCUGAAGCACGAAAGCGUGGGGAGCGAACAGGAUUAGAUACCCUUGUAGUC
rnacentral:rRNA from 1 species